GCCCCUAUAGCACAAUGGAUAGCGCGUUGGACUUCUAAUCCAAAAAGUUGUGGGUUCGAAUCCCAAUUGGGAUG